rnacentral:rRNA from 1 species
AACGAACGCUGGCGGCAUGCCUAACACAUGCAAGUCGAACGAGACCUUCGGGUCUAGUGGCGCACGGGUGCGUAACGCGUGGGAACCUGCCCUUAGGUUCGGAAUAACUCCCCGAAAGGGGUGCUAAUACCGGAUAAUGUCUUCGGACCAAAGAUUUAUCGCCUUUGGAUGGGCCCGCGUUGGAUUAGCUAGUUGGUAGGGUAAAAGCCUACCAAGGCGACGAUCCAUAGCUGGUCUGAGAGGAUGAUCAGCCACACUGGGACUGAGACACGGCCCAGACUCCUACGGGAGGCAGCAGUGGGGAAUAGUCGACAAUGGGCGAAAGCCUGAUCCCGCAAUGCCGCGUGAGUGAUGAAGGCCUUAGGGUUGUAAAGCUCUUUUACCCGGGAUGAUAAUGACAGUACCGGGAGAAUAAGCUCCGGCUAACUCCGUG